UACGUAGGGGGCAAGCGUUGUCCGGAUUUAUUGGGCGUAAAGAGCGUGUAGGCGGCCAGGGAGGUCCGUUGUGAAAACUCGAGGCUCAACCUCGAGACGCCGAUGGAAACCCCCUGGCUAGAGUCCGGAAGAGGAGAGUGGAAUUCCUGGUGUAGCGGUGAAAUGCGCAGAUAUCAGGAGGAACACCGGUGGCGAAGGCGGGUCUCUGGGCAGUGAACUGACGCUGAGGAGCGAAAGCGUGGGGAGCGAACAGG
rnacentral:rRNA from 1 species